rnacentral:rRNA from 1 species
UACGUAGGGUGCGAGCGUUGUCCGGAAUUAUUGGGCGUAAAGAGCUCGUAGGCGGUGUGUCACGUCGGCCGUGAAAACCUGCAGCUUAACUGUGGGCGUGCGGUCGAUACGGGCAUCACUGGAGUUCGGCAGGGGAGACUGGAAUUCCUGGUGUAGCGGUGAAAUGCGCAGAUAUCAGGAGGAACACCGGUGGCGAAGGCGGCAUCCUGGACCGGUAUUGACACUGAAAAGCGAAAGCCAGGGGAGCGAAUGGG